GGAAGUUCUUGAUUCGUAAAACCAAAAUACCCUAAAUCCCUCUUUUUUCUUGAUUCUCUCUUCAAUUUUGAAUUUGAAGAAGCAAUCAGUUUUGUGAACAAGAUAAAGGAGAAUCAGUUUUUCUGGUGGUUUUGCUGAUAUAGUUUACACUCUUUCUUUUAAACAAAAUUUUUAGGUUGCUACCCUCUUCAAGGACCAUCGAGAUUUGCUUGAGGAGUUCACUAGAUUCUUACCGUAUACCUCUGCUACACCUUCGACACAGUAUGCUCCAUAUAGUCAAAAUUCGUUGCAGCACUUUAAUGAGCAGAGUUCCACGACUCCAAUGAUGCGCCAAAUUCCACCAGACAGGGCAGCCAUAAGCGAUAGAACUGCUUGGAAUUGUCUGAUACAGAAGUUGGUAGCAAUGGACUACAGCAUUUAUCAGGACUGUCUAAUCUGCAGAAAAUAAAUCUUUCUUUUACCAUGGUUAGUGACGGUGGUUUAAGCAAAUUGUGUGGACUCUCAUCUCUGAAGUCCCUUAAUUUGGAUGCUUACCAAAUUUCUGACAUUGGGCUGUCAAACCUUACAAGUUUGACUGGCCUCACUGACCUGGAUUUGUUUGGUGCACGAAUCACAGAUUUUGGUACAAACUAUUUGAAAAAGUUUAAGAACCUGAGGUCUUUGGAAAUAUGUGGUGGAGCUUUNACUGAUGCUGGUGUAAAAAUAUCAAAGAGCUC